UGGGCAACCUGCCCCCGACCCUGGGAUAACCCCGGGAAACCGGAGCUAAUACCGGAUACUCCGGCUGGAUCGCAUGGUCCGGCCGGGAAAGGUCCGCCGGAGAGGGAUGGGCCCGCGGCCUAUCAGCUUGUUGGUGAGGUAAUGGCUCACCAAGGCGACGACGGGUAGCCGGCCUGAGAGGGCGAUCGGCUACACUGGGACUGAGACACGGCCCAGACUCCUACGGGAGGCA
rnacentral:rRNA from 1 species